rnacentral:lncRNA from 1 species
CUACCUAUUGUCUAAAUAAGGUCAUGAUAUCUUUUAAAACAUUAGGGGGGCCAUGUUGAAAAAAAUCAAUAAAAGGGAGAUAACUUCUAAAGGGGAUGAUGAAAUCCUACAAAAGUUCAUCUGGUAAAAGUUCAUGAUGAGGUCUAUCGAUGGUUCAAAUUUGGUAUUGAUAACUCCAAUAGAAGCGGUAGGAGGGCGUGCCAAACAAAUGCUGGAAGGAAAAAAAAAAGAAAAAACUAGUAUCUCAAUUGUUUGUAAAACAAUUGAAAGGUCUUUCCUGUAAAAUUGAUGUUUUCGUAUUGUACUUUGUACGACCUUUCGUUUGAUAUACGACAAGCACACCUUCUGAAACUUUUCGCUUUUUACACUUAAUGACCUCAUCCGUUUACAUUUUUGAGAUCGGAAUUAUGAUAUAUGGAACAGAGUAGAUGAGCUUUCAUUGAUAUGCGACAACACCAUGUUCUAGAAAGUGAUUUUUGCACUUAAUUACCCAUCCAACUAAUUUUUGGAGGUCGGGAAUUUGAUAUUUAAAAUGUACACAUCAUGACCUUUCAUUUGAUAUACAACAACC